rnacentral:rRNA from 1 species
UACAGAGGUCCCAAGCGUUGUUCGGAUUCACUGGGCGUAAAGGGUGCGUAGGUGGCGAGGUAAGUCGGAUGUGAAAGCUCGGAGCUCAACUCCGAAAUGGCAUUGGAAACUACCUUGCUCGAGGGUUGGAGGGGGGACUGGAAUUCUCGGUGUAGCAGUGAAAUGCGUAGAUAUCGAGAGGAACACCAGUGGCGAAGGCGACUUACUGGACACGUAUUGACGCUGAGGUGCGAAAGCGUGGGGAGCAAACAGG